UGGAGCCAGCUUAUUCUAGACCAAAAGGGCCUGGACUGUUCUAGGUACAAGAUGGUGCCAUGAAUGUGCCAAUCUCGCCUCUUAAGAAAAUGUUAAAACUAAAGUAAGUGCAUAAACUAUUAAACUAAAUGCAUGAGUCUUAUUUACAUAUAGGAAAUGGUAAUUCAGAAAGCUAGCCUGUGAGAUUAUCAAUCAUCACCAAACCAGAUCUUGAUGACUGUCACAUCUCUGCUAUAUUUUCCAAAUAGGAAAUCCCAUUUACCAGGGCCCUCCUGAAAUGCCUGGGAUUAUGCCAAGGAUCGCUUCCCUAGUUAUUUUUAUGUGUAGACCUGAGGAGUGGCAGAGUAUGUAACCUUUAAAGAUCAUUAAGCACCAGUCUUGGGCUCAGCCUGAAUUCUCACUCAGCAAGAGUAAUGUAAUUGCAAUUAUAGAACUGAUCCAUUUUAUCACUUUCUGAGAGAUCAAUUGUCAGAGAUUGAGACUCUUAAUUCAUCCUGGGUUUUAAGGAAUAUUUAAAUGAGAAUAAGGAAUAAAUUGAAAACAUCAAGAAACUGACACAAA
rnacentral:lncRNA from 1 species